GCCUAGAAUAAAAAUCCUAAAUAUUUGAAAAGACAUGCGUUUCAAUCCUGGCACCGUUACACGUGUUUUUUGCAGUUGACCUGGUUACUUUCUCACGUACCUUCAUGCACUUGAGUCUCAAUUGUCUGUAUCGGUUUAAACAAGUGAUAAUAAAACCAAACGUCCAAGGCUCACUAGGAGCAGAUGAGGAGGGAGAGAUACACGAAAAUGCACUGGGAGGAGGAUCACGGGAUGUUUAAAAU
rnacentral:lncRNA from 1 species